AAACGUACAAUAAGUAGUCAAAAGUUCCGAAUCCCGUGAAAAUCGGGAACUGUACCGCAACGGUGAUAGUCCGGUCGCAGACUUUUGAUAUUACGCGUAUCCUUCGAGUCAAAGGAGAUGCAAAAG
rnacentral:sRNA from 2 species